GUUUUAUAAACAGAAAUUACUGCUUAUUUUCUAUCAAUUUCCUUUGUAUUUUGCAUCGACUUAAGAAAUUGAGUAAGUUUCGCGGCUAUCGUGAUCACGUGGACACAACGACCGCGGUCAACAACGGGAAAUCUGCUUGCCGGUCACAAGAAAGCUGAGGCUUAAACCACCUUAAGACUCCUUUAAAAAUGCAGCAUUGACAUCAUCGUCCAAAAACAUCUAAAUAACAACACAAGGCAGGAGGAUGUUGCUGAUCCACCUAUUGAUGUUCAAGAGGAAUUAGCUGUCCUCAACCAACUCCGUGAUCUUUGCAGAGCCUGCUCCUAUCUUGUGGGAUUGACAUGUGCCUUGGACCUGUGAUACCCCAAGAACUUUAAAGGGUUAGUUCAUCC